AGAACGAACGCUGGCGGCAUGCCUAACACAUGCAAGUCGAACGAAGCCUUCGGGCUUAGUGGCGCACGGGUGCGUAACGCGUGGGAAUCUGCCCUUGGGUUCGGAACAACAGUUAGAAAUGACUGCUAAUACCGGAUGAUGUCUUCGGACCAAAGAUUUAUCGCCCAAGGAUGAGCCCGCGUAGGAUUAGGUAGUUGGUGGGGUAAUGGCCCACCAAGCCGACGAUCCUUAGCUGGUCUGAGAGGAUGAUCAGCCACACUGGGACUGAGACACGGCCCAGACUCCUACGGGAGGCAGCAGUGGGGAAUAUUGGACAAUGGGCGAAAGCCUGAUCCAGCAAUGCCGCGUGAGUGAUGAGGCCUUAGGUGUAAGCCUUUACCAGGACGAUAAUGACGGUACCUGGAGAAUAAGCCCGGCAAACUUCGUGCCAGCAGCCGC
rnacentral:rRNA from 1 species